AGUGUAUUAUCCUUCCCAAACCGGGCUCUGGGUCUAGUUUGAAAACAAAUAUACAUUUGUGAAGAAUGCACAUUAACUCAUAAUAGUAGUCUUCAGACUUCGGACAAUCGGCAUCUAUGUCACAUACCAUAGGUACUGUAAUGAAAAAAGAUACGGAAAUAAUGUUUCUAAAAUCUGAUAAAAGACCGUGUACAGACUACAAAGAAAAUAAGAUUUUUUAUUUUAUUUGUUUUCACCACUAAUAUCCGGCCCACUGGACCAUCUAAUCUGUUUUGAAAAUCAGUUUUAGCAUCAAGUGGUUCUAGCCCUUUCCUGAUCGCAGUUGUGAGGGAUCGAACCAUGGUCCACACUACCAAGUUUAGUGUCAAUCAAAACUGGACCAACUAACAACUCGUGCAAAUAAGAAAAAUUUGAUAAAUAGAAAAAUAAAAUGCCUUACAAUUAAGUCCUUCCGUCGCAAGAAUAAAUAUGAAAAAAAAUAGUAUUAUAUCAUACACAAACUUGAUAAUUUUAGCCAUUUUUUUUUUCCUCUUUGAAUGUGAAAAGUAAAAUAUGGUUUGAU
rnacentral:lncRNA from 1 species